rnacentral:tRNA from 1 species
UGUGGCUUAUUGGUAGAGCACUUGCCUAGCACGUGUGAGGCACUGGGUUCGAUCCCCAGCA